UGAUUUAGGGAUUGCUUGGGCAAAAGAAAAACAGUUGGUCCUGUCAAUUCAGGCCGGUGGGAUUUUCGCAUCUGCUAGGAAUACUGGGUCAUCAUGAUGAACGAUAUGAGAUAUAUACUAGUGCCUGGAUCAAUUUUUGAGACUGAUUUGAGUCAAGGGCAAUGAUGGCAAUCAAUUGGAGUUGAAAUCGAAGGCAGGAUGGUCCGAUUCAUGUAAAGUUUUUUUGUAAACAAUUAGGGAUGCAUGAAAUAUAACCACACAGCCCACUAAGAUGGAAAUCGAGGACAUAGAUGAAGAUAAAGAAGUUGAGGUCAAAGAAUCAAACUCUGAUUGCUACAUUCAACACUCCAUCACGUACUACUCGUACACCUUGUUUAUUCACUUUUAAGAUUUUUGAAAAAUUACAAGUACGAGGAAGGAAGAAGGCGCAUGGGCUUAGGGCGCGCUAGUCCGCGAGUGGGCGAGGGAAACUUGGCAUGUGGCGGCGUGUGGCGGCGUAUGAGAGCAUGUGCAGGCACAUGGCUUAACCCAUUUCAUCCCGUUCGACUUCUGUUUACAUAUUCCUUAGUCCUUCAAUACUAACCCUAAAAAUUAUUAAUCGAAUGAUUCAUCAGUGGAAUUAGAGGCAAUUAACUAGCCGCUUUGAGUUUGAACUUGUAAAUGGUUAUGAGCAUGUUCAUCAUGUAAUUUGAGGUUUAAGAUUCACGAC